UUUAUCGGAGAGUUUGAUCCUGGCUCAGGACGAACGCUGGCGGCGUGCCUAAUACAUGCAAGUCGAGCGGACAGAUGGGAGCUUGCUCCCUGAUGUUAGCGGCGGACGGGUGAGUAACACGUGGGUAACCUGCCUGUAAGACUGGGAUAACUCCGGGAAACCGGGGCUAAUACCGGAUGGUUGUCUGAACCGCAUGGUUCAGACAUAAAAGGUGGCUUUGGCUACCACUUACAGAUGGACCCGCGGCGCAUUAGCUAGUUGGUGAGGUAACGGCUCACCAAGGCAACGAUGCGUAGCCGACCUGAGAGGGUGAUCGGCCACACUGGGACUGAGACACGGCCCAGACUCCUACGGGAGGCAGCAGUAGGGAAUCUUCCGCAAUGGACGAAAGUCUGACGGAGCAACGCCGCGU
rnacentral:rRNA from 1 species